UGGUUGAGCCUUCUGGCUCCGAUACUAGGAGACGGGGUCGUAAGACUCCUCGUGAGUCAGACUCUUUUGAGGAGCGUGAAAGGAAACGGCUCCGGGACUUAUUUGCAGAACCAACAGAUGAGGACUCUUUUGAGGGUUUUACCGAGGGAAUGGAGGAAGAAAUGGUCAGCUCGGAGGAGGAUGACAUGGAGUGGACUCGUGUGAGGGAGGAUUUGGGUGUCCCCGGUAAUGAAAGCAUGGGAGGCGAUUGGCGGGUUGCAGGAUCAGACCCAUGGACGGGCUGGAGGGAUGGAGCGGGAUCCACAGCUGGGGAUGCUGUGGGGCGUAGUCAAAGGUGUUUUAGCUCUGAUGAGGAUGAUGAUGAUGAGGCACCUGGGAUUAGGAUGGCAGCUGACAGCGAUGAUGAGUUUGAACUGGGAUAAAAUGGGGUUUAGGAUCAAUGUCUAAUUGCGUUGGGCAAGGUAAUCUGGACGAACGCUUGGGCUCUUGUUGGGGAACUUCCUGAAGACGGGUGUGAUUCGUUGCUGGAUACCUUGGACCUCCGUCGUCUUUUUGACGGACAUUAAUUACCUACUCUGGAUUGACGCUGGACUGACUGACUUCGACCCCGGAUUAUCCCUUCUGUGGCUAUCGGUGGGACUUGUGGAAUUCUAGACGUCUGCACUUGGCUUUCGACCUCGGACCGGAUUGAGACCCUGCUGACUGCCGUUACCCUGAUUGAUGUGCCUGGACCCGGAUUUCGCUCGUUGCACGGAGGAGUAAACAGCCUGAUUUACUCAUCUGUAGCUUUUGAGUAGCAGAGAGGAAUCUGCUGCCAGUUUAUUGUGUUCAUUCUGACCUCUGUUAAUCCUCUUUUGUUUGCUAAUCUUGCCAGGCUGAAGUAAACACUUUUGAUUUAAUCCGGAUUAAACUCCUGUUUAAUCCGGUUUAUUCUUUUGAACCUUUUUAGUUCAAACGGAGCUGUUUUUGUUACUUUUCACACUGAAGUCAAGUGUUUGCCUAAUCCUUUGUUUCCUACGGGCAUUUUCAGUUUUGUAACCUCAAUAAACUGAGUUUUACUCUA